rnacentral:rRNA from 1 species
CGGGACGGGUGAGUAACGCGUGGGUAACCUGCCUCAUACAGGGGGAUAACAGUUAGAAAUGACUGCUAAUACCGCAUAAGCCCACGGCUUGGCAUCGAGCAGAGGGAAAAGGAGUAAUCCGCUUUGAGAUGGCCUCGCGUCCGAUUAGCUAGUUGGUGAGGUAACGGCCCACCAAGGCGACGAUCGGUAGCCGGACUGAGAGGUUGAACGGCCACAUUGGGACUGAGACACGGCCCAG